CAACUAUGUCACAGUAAUCAAAGGUAUAUGUAGCUACAUCUGUGUUAGAAGAAUUGUACCAGAAAGUGUAAACAUGAUUAUCUUUGGUUAUGGCCACUUGUUGGGCCCAGGCAAAGUGUAGCAGCAUAAGAAAACACAAGACACAUAAUAAAUUCAUAUUUCAGCAGGAUUAGCCUCUUCUGGAACAGGCACUUUUUUGCAAUGUGAG
rnacentral:lncRNA from 1 species